UGGGUCUGAGAGUUGAUUUCAUUAUAAU
rnacentral:piRNA from 1 species